UAGCCAGGACUGUGAAAUUCCUCCCUUGGCUUUAGGAAUACCCCCACCAAAACAGUUUUGGUGGGAGGAAGAGCCAAUUCCCACUCUUAAAUCAAGAAGACAAUGGGAAUGGAAGCAUGAUAUGCAGUCCGGAGCCUGGCACCAAUAAUUUUUGGUGACUAUAUUUAUAAAUGGAAUUCAUGAGUUUUAUUCUAGUUGGUUAGGCCCCUCUCUUGAUACAUUAAAUGGGCUCUAAAGGAAUCUAGAAAAUCUCUUUUUCUCUGACAAAACCUAGGAUCAAGCUGCCUCCAUAUCCCAUGUUCUUUUUCAAGUAUACUAUGUUUCCUCUUAUAACGACCUUAAAAAUUAUACUCUAUAAAAUAUAAAUAACUUGAUUGAUUUUUAUAGCGGUGGACAUAUUUUAUCUUUAAAGCAUCCUCUUAUAUAAUUCAUCAUUUGGCAACUGGUCUGGCUGCGAUUUGGGAAAAUAAUAAUAGCCAUUUAUUAAGCCCAUUCUGUGGGCCAGGAAAUGUGCUGAAAUCAUUACAUAGAUUAUAUAGAUGUAUAUCAUGACACUCUUCAUAUUUCCUCCUAACUGAUGAGGAAACCAAGGCAAGAUAAGAGUUAGGUGAUUUCUUGGCAUCAUACAACCAACAUGAGUCCAGAUGAUCUGAUACCACAGUGUCUUAUGUUAACCACAACAAAAAUAUUAUCUCCAGAUGUUUACAUUCAGAUCUAUGAACCAUUCAUUAAAGGAUUACUCUGUACCAAACUGUAUUUUAAGUGCUGAGUAACAAAGAUCUAAUUCAGGAUUUUUAACCUCUGCACUAUUGACAUUUUGUGUUGAGUAACUCUCUGUAGUGGGACCUAGACUAUGCAUUGUAGGGUAUUUAGCAGCACUCCUGGCUCCUACCCACCAGAGGCCUAUAGGACGUUUCAAGUUACAACAACCAAAGAUGUCUCCAGAUGCUGUCAAGUGUCCACUGGGGGACGAAUUGCCUCCAUUGAGAACCACUGAUUGAAUUCUGUCUACCUAUUUGUCUGUCCAUCUAUCAUCUAUCAUCUUUCUGUCCUUCCAUUUUUUCUCAUUGUGUACAUUGUUAUGCUUAAAAUACAUUCAAAUAAUACCAUAAAGAUUCUGCAUUUGCAGAGAUGCCACACGACCCCACUCAAUUCAAUCUUUUAUCUUUUGUUAGGUUUAAUAACCAUUGAAACAGACCUUGUGUUACGUGGAGGAGAAUUUCUGACAAAGUGCUAAAAGCAAAAGAAUUUUAAAUUUAAACUCAGGAGAAACUUAUUAAUUCCCUUGACAUUUAUCUUUUACACUCAAUACCUUGAAUUUAAUGUCAAAAGUACCAGAGCAACUAUAAAAUGAAUAAAACUUGUGUGCUAUAAUAGUUGUGGUAGGCAGAAUAAUAGCUCUCCCAAAGAUGUGUAUGUCCUAAUUCCUGGAACUAGUGACUAUGUUACCUUAUCUGGCAAAAAGGAGUUUACAGAUGUGAUGAAGAUAGAGAUUUUUAGAUAGGGAGAUUACCUUAGAUUGUCCAGGUGAGACUAAUGUAAUCACCAGGGUCCUUAUCAGGGAAAGAGGUGGGGAGAGUUGGAGUCAGAGAUGGAAAGGUGGAGCACAGGUCAGUGUGGUGUGUGUGUGUGUGUGUGUGUGUGUGUGUGUGUGAGAGAGAGAGAGAGAGAGAGAGACAGAGACAGAGACAGAGAGACAGAGACAGAGAGACAGAGACAGAGAGAAUAGAGAGAGAGAGAGAUUUGAAAAUGAUAGGCUGCUGACUUUGAAGAUGGAGGAGGAGACUAUGAACCAAGGGACACAGGCAGCCUCUACAAGCUCAAAAAGGCAGGGAAAUGGACCCUUUUCUAGAGUCCCCAGAAGGACACCUAGCAGAUACCUUGAUUUUAGCCCAGUAAAACCCAUUUCAGGGUUCUGACCUCCAGAAUUGUAAGAUAAUAAGUUUGUACUGUUAAGCCACUAAGCGUGUGGCAAUUUGUUUCUGCAGCCAUAGGAAACUAAGGCGGUAGUUCCUUACCUUUAGAAUUCAAGGUGAGUUGAACCUGAAUGCGGUCCCUCAAGAAUCCCAGCCAAGAGUGGAGAACACUCACUUUUGGUGAGCACUUAAUAUGUGUCAGGUACCGCAAGAAUGCUCAACAAUUACUUCUCAUAACAACUCCAGGAGCUAACCUUUAUUUUCUCAAUUUAUUUUUCAGAGAAACUGAGGUCAGAGAGGUUAAGGAACUUACCCAAAGUUAAGGACAUGGCAAGGAAGGAUACCAAGAUCUGCCUGACUCCAGUGUCUGUGCUAAUUCACACCAGAUAAUGCUGCCAAACGGCACUCCCCAUGAUGAUUCCAAACAUUUCUGGAUUCAUUGUAUUUAUUAUAUUAGACCCCAGGCUAAGUUAUUUGUAAAUUCUAUUGGCACAAAUGAUACAAACUGUAAUAUGUGUUAUUGUUCAUUUGGGAUUUAUCAAUUAAACAAAUGCCUUUUGGUUUAUUCACUGCAUGAAGUUAUUUCCCCAAAAAGGCAUUGUUUACUGCCUUUGGCUUGGCUCUGGACGUCCAAGGUCUUUGGCAGACUGGGACAUUAGUCUCAGCUCCUGCUUAGUCUAACAUUUUCAUUUUCAAAAAGCCAGUGGUAAAUCAAGCUGAGAGCCAGAUACCCAGUCAAAAAUUGAUUUAGUAAGGCACCGCAACUCACCAGUUACAAUCCUACCUUUUUGCCUUAUGGUGCAAUCUCUUUAGUAAUUGCCAAAUCUAAGGACACAUGCGCACGCACACACACACACACACACACACACGUUCCUAGUGCCCCUCUCUUAUUUUCCCUCUCACUCCAACACAUACACUUUGGAGGAAAAUAUUAAUACAUAAAUGCAGGCAUUUGAGACAUGAUGACUCAAAUGGCAGAAAUUUUUAAAAUUAUGUUUCUCAGUAGCCAAUGGACUUUUCCCAAAAUGUGUUUCUCUUCAAAGGUAAAAAAUAUAUUGGAUAUAAUAUUCUUAUAUUGACUCCUAGGAUCUAAAAAGUUAAAGUUAUAUCUUUAUAAAACAGAUAGUUUACUUGAGAGAGGGACUAUUUUUCUGUUCAAAUUCUUAACUCUCAAGAAUCCUGUAUGUACUCAAUAAAUAAAAGACUAAACUGAAUUCCAUAACCUGCUCAUAUAACUCAGGUGAGUGAUUCCAGGAGAGGAAAUUAUGAGCUCAUUUGUUUAUUAUUUUUCUUGGAUGGGAACAAGCUUAUAAGUUAUGAUUUGAACACGUUUUCUUUUUCUUUUUUUCCUCUUUAUUUCUUUCUUUCUUUCUUUCUCUCUUCUUCUUGCUUUAAGGGAACAAUGAAGCAAUCAAGAAAGAGAAAUGUGUACUGUCUGGAUGGCCACACUGGGGAAACUGUUCUCACGUUUCUUGACCUUGUGGAUCCAGAUCAUCACAUCAGGUGCAUCAGGUAUAUCUCAAUAUCACAGUGAGAGUUGUCGGCUACAGGAUCUCCAGAAAAGUCAGCUAUUAUACUUGUGAGUAAUAAUUUUCCAGGACAAAUAUUAACUUUCAAGAACGUAACCUCACAUUAAAAAAAAUCCUUGGGCCAGAUUGCCUGGCAAAGAUGUUACAAAGUGGUUUAUAUUUCAUGUAAUUAAAAUAAUACAUGCCCAUAUCUCCAUCCUAAACUUUUCCAUAUUUCUCGAAAAAGAAUCUAACAAAUGACUCCUUCAUUGUACUAUUUGAGAUGGGAAAAUUUCUUAAAUUAUACUAACCAAACAUAUGCAGCGCUUUGUAAUGUAGAACAUAACAGUAAUUAAACUGGUUCAUUCACGAAAGAAAUACAGGUAAAGAAACACAUUUUAUGUAAUAAGAACAGAAUUUUCUGUGUCUCCUAUUAUUGUAACAGGUAAAUUUAUAGAUGACCAGUGUUUUGAUUUUUUUUUUACCCCAGCAAUGAGUAAUUAUAGCCACCAAACACGUGGUUUAGUGGAAAGCUUUCUAUUGGAAUAUAAGUGAGAUAUUUUAUAGCGUUCAGCAUUUUUAAACCUUUAUUCCAUUACUAUGCAUCUUCUUGACAGCAGGCUGGGGAAGUUGAAAAUUCCACAGGUGAGUGAAUUAAUACUGUGACAAUUAGUCAUGCUGGAAAAAUGCCAGGCAAUCGUAUACUUGUCAUUAUGUGGCCUUGGUACAGGUGUGGAAUAACUGAUGCUCGGUUAGGUAAUGACGAUUCUGUUCUUCUCGCGGAUAGUAUAUAAAGGGGAUUGAGGGAGCAUAUGGAGAAAAGCCCUCUAAAGACAUCUAUUCAUUUUUAGCAGGAGAGAUUACACUGAGGUUGAUUCAGUGGAAAUUACAUUUUUCUUAAUUUCUCAUAUUCUCCAUUAUUUGCAUAGACAAAUCCUGCAGUGAAGAAUUACACGUCUGUUGCUGCACUCAGUGUGUGCCCCAUGGUGCUGGCAGGAAAGAGGGAUACAGAGAAUGGAGGUGUCAGCUGUUUAAAAGGCAGACUCCUAAAGGCCAUUUUAAAGAAAAAUCGAUCCCUGUGGGUGUUGUGUGGAAACUCUACAAGCUGUUGCCACUUGAAUAUUAAAUAUUAGUUCUUUUUAAUAUCACAGAUACCAAAAUGUCAAGUAUUUUUCUUUCUUUCUUUCUUUCUUUCUUUCUUUCUUUCUUUCUUUCUUUCUUUCUUUCUUUCUUUCUUUUUUUUUUGCUUAGUUGGUAAUGAGCUUUUAAAGUGAUGCAAAUUUAAGCAGUGUUUGCAAGUAUGCUAGAACAUCUAGUUUUGCUAUAACCCAGCUCUUUUUGUAUCAACUUGGCAGGGUGUGCCCUUGUUAAAAACUCAAUAUGCAAAAUUACUAAAAUUACUAUGAUCCGCUCAUAUUUAGUGUUAGCUUUUUAGAGGGAUAGACUUCUGUGUGAAAUUCAUAGUUUAAAAAAACUCCAACAAACUGAACUGUUGAAUAUAGAACUUAGCAAUUCUCAUUUAAUACUUUGUAAUAGGCAGGAUUGCAUGGUGGUUAAGAUUAUCAAUGCUGGAGCCAGAUUGCCUGGGUUUAAAUCCAGACCCUGUCCAUUAGUUGCUGUGAACUUGGGAAAAUGCUUAAUGUCAUCUGUACCUUAGUUUCUUCUUUGUAAAUGGGGAUAAUUACAGUAACUACCUCAUAGUGUGUUGUAAGGAUUAAGUCAUUCCAUGCAAAGCACUUCUAACAGUGCGUGGCGCUUAAUAAGGUCUUAAUAAGUAUCAACUGCUAUUAUUAUUAUUACUGUUGUUAUUACUAUUGUUAUUGUUACCAUGAUGCAUUGCAUAUUAAGAAUCCAUCUAUAGCACACUGCAAAAGUCUGCAAAAGAUAGCAUGG